GGGCACUGCAUACGGUAGAUCUGCUUAACCAUGUACCAAAUGCAUCCGCCUCUUCCCCAACAUCCAUUACUACUGGAACCCACCAAGAACUGAAUUCCAUGGUACUUCUCAGGAUUCUUGAGGUCUGGACUAAGCCCUGGAUUGGGAAAGACGUGUUUAUGAUGCAGACCAGUUGGGGAGAUUUUUCUUGAAGGAGCAGCAGCUUGGGAAUAGCUGACCUGGUGAGAGCAUUCCUCUUCAUCUUGGCUCUGUCUGCUGUAGUUGGGGACUCUCCCAGACUCAGACAUCUGCGGCCUACUGGACACGUUCCCUUGGAACUGAUGCCCCAGUGAUUCUGCUGCCUCUGCCAGAGUCAGAAAACUGUGGAUGUGGGAAGCUGCCCGUGGAGUCAGGAAGUCAUCCCUACUGAUGGAGCCUCUGCAGCCACCUUGGUCCUGGUCCACACCAGCAAUGUUGAUGCUGCCCUGCAGCCUGCCUAUCCCCUGGCUUAAUUCCGGCUCCAUGCAUGUGACGAGCAGAAAAAAGAAAGUCGCAUCUGGACCUCCGGCGGCAAGGGAGUCUGAGAAAGAUAGAUCUGUGCAUGGUCAUCUUAACCCUCCUGUAUCCUUAAAGCCCAGCACCAGGUCAAGUAUGCAGUGGGCACUCAGUAGUUGCAUGUUAAGUGAAUCGAUGAUUCUAGAAAAGAAAAUUUUGUUUACUGGCUCUUCACCUUUAGCAGGAAGUAAAUUCUCAACGGGGCUUUGGCUCGGAAAGAAUAUGGACCUGAAUGCUUUUCUCUUCCCCUCUCCUGUCCCUCCCUCCUCACUUCUCCUUUCUCCUCUUCUCCUCUCCUCUUCUCUCCCUUCCUCUGUCCCUUUUUGUCCCUUUCCUCCUCCCUCCCUCCUUUCCCUCUCCCUCUGUGUCAGCUUCCACCACCAGGAAACCAGCUUCUCCUGAGAACACACAGGGGGACCCUUCAAACUCAGUGUACAACACAGCCUCUUGAAUUCUGUGCAUUGCCUCUUUUAAUUAAACCCCUCCUUUCAGGAAGUCUCUCAAGGCUAUAAGCUUAUCAGAUCCUGAUGAGCACGUCAUCAAAGCUCCAAUCUGGUAUUAAUGGGAAAUGGCCUUUCCCUUCAGGGAGGGCCAAGCUUCUGUCCUUGGGAACCACUGCAUUCUCCUUGCUGGGAGGACACGUGGAUUUCCCCUCAGUGCUCUCUAGGGUGCUGCAAGCUGGCAAAGUUCACCUGCCCUUUUCAAAAUAUGAAAUACAUGCCUAAUUUCCAACAUCAUUGUGUUCCAUUUUCCCUGAUAACACCUUAACAGGGGCUUUAAUAACUGCAUUCUGUGGAAAGAGACACUGGCGCUGUGCUGUUGGCUCUAGGUUGUGAGCUGGGGCCCUGGCUGUGAGCCCUUGGAGGAAUCCCUUUACCUCUCUAUUCCAGGUUAUUCAUGUUUAAAAUGAAGUUCCUUAACUGCUCUCAGUUCUUCCCAGAAUUCAUGUAAUGAGUUCUAAGUGUCAGUUCUGCUAGGUCUAGGGAGAGGGAUGAAGCCUCUACAUGAGCCAGCCUGUGUUGGUUGGGGCAGAGCCUAGAGAUCCCUGGUUCAGUGAGGCUCCUGCACUAGGGAAGGGACCUCUGAGCUCCUCUUCUCGUGCCAAGCCCAUCUCCGCUCAUCCCAUGCUGACUGCAAGAAUGGUGUUUGCUCAAUGGUCAGGGAAGUGGUGCCCAAGAGCAGGAACCUGGCUUCACUCUGUCUCUCCUCUGGGCAUCAAAGAGGCAGUACCUGCUAGGACCGUCUCUUCCUUUCUAAAAUCAGGAAGUAACAAAAGGCAGGCUGGGAUUGCCCAUAGAUACAGCUCCGUCUUUCUCUCUCUCUCCUGAAACAGCCUGCAGACAUUCCUGAGUUCUUGUGCUGAGAUUAGGUUCAUUGUCAAACCCAAACCCAUUUGUUUUAAAGCCAGUUGUGCAAAAAUAUAUUAAAAAGCAAACAUGCGCAAACCAGAAGCCAGGGUCGGGGUUAUUGAGUGUAGCUUCGAUAUUAAUAACAUGAAAUAGAGUUCCCAGUCUCCCAAUUUCCCAUCUGAAUGGAGCUCUUUCAAAGCCCAGGAAGGCAGAUGGGAUGCACAGGGCAGGAUGGGCCCCUUCCAGGGUUUCUCAGUCCAAUGCCAUCACAGAGGAACUUGAAUGUUAUUUCUGGCAGUGUGGACUGGCUUCACACAGAGAUGAGGUGGCAGACGAUGAGGGACUUCCUGGCCAUAUUAAUGUGUAGAAUGCCUCUAAGCCACACAGGUACAAAGUGAGGGUGGAAACAUUAUUUCUAGCCCUUGGAACUGAUAGAAAAAUACUCCUGACAAAGAAUACAGGGAAUACUGCUGGUGGGACUCAGUAUAAGGUCACUUUGCUGGAAAGUAACAGAGAAUAAAUAAAAUUGAUUGAGUGCCUAUUAUGUGCUUGAAAUCACUUUACAUGCUGGGGCCACAGCAGUUGUCAAAAUUGUUGGAAAUCUCUGCCCUCAUGGAGCUCAGAGUCUAGGGGAUUUUUAAAAAUCACAGGCUGGGCAGAUACUGAAGCUGGCUUUGGGGCCAUUCGGAACUAAAGACUUGAAUUCUAACAAGAUUUCUGUGAUUCAGUUUCUUGCUGUGUCUUGGAGUCAUUUCCUCCAAGCACCUUCUGUCUCUACCUCUGUCAAGAAGAGGACAAAAUAGCCACCAUCCACAUUCUUGUCCCCAGACUGAUGAAGAAGAUGAUAAAAGGGAGGCUUUAGUUGGUAAGCAGAAAGGCACCAUGUAAGUGACAGGCUUACAUCUUGUAUGAAAUCAAGUGGGCAAGAAAGCUUCUGCUCAGGUGGGUACAGCCCCAAGGAGGCUGAUAGGUGAGCACUCUUAGGAACAUGGGCUUGCAGACUUCCCAGUGAAUGCUUCCUUGGGCUGUCAUUUGAACCUAAGAAGAAAGCACAGUUCAAGAAAGAUGAACACAUGUAGCCAACCUGAACUGAAACCAAGAAGGAAAGGAUCAGUCAAAUAGCUGUCUCCUCUGGGCUUGGCUGCCUGUCCUUGGAGAUAAUACUGGCACGUAGCAAGAACUUCCACCUGCAGCAUCCACAGCACAUCUCCAUGGGCCUUAGCAAGAUGCUAUGCAACACGGCUCUUUUCCAGUAUCCUAAUUUUCUGUUCAUAACAUGUUGGGUCUUUGGGAAUCACCAUUAUAAUCAUCAUAAUGUGUUGGGUCUUUGGGAAUUACUGUCAUGAUCAUCAUCAUCACCACCACCACCACCACCAACAUCAGUUUUCCUGGUCUCAUCUUCAUGAUCCUGUUUCAUUUCUUACUACUUCAAACAUUCUUUUUUCCUUCCCUAUGCCUGGAACAUCCUCUGCUCAUUUCUAAUCCCAGAUCUUUGCUUCAGCUGUGGCUCCCUGCACUCCCUGCCUGGGGAAUGCCCCAUGUACCCCCUUUUUCUUGCUAAAAUAUUACACACCUUCAAGACCAUCUCAAGCCCCCCCUUUCAGGAAGCUCUCCUCUAUCUACUCAUGCCCUCCGGUACCUGAGUAUUUGCACAAUAUUAGAACUUAAACAUUCAUCAUUUUAGUCUACAUUCCAGCAACUCUGUAAGGUUGGAAUCAUUUCCUCCAUUUUAUCGAUGAGAUAACAGGUUCAGAGAGGCCGGGUAUUGCCCCAGGAGGAAGGAGCUGGAGCCCCCACAGCUGUGUCUAUUCUACUCUGCCUUGGUGUGCUUGCUUUCCCAGGAGCACACCAGAUGUUGAGAGCAGUAGUUCUCAAACUUCAGGGUGCAUGUACAUUACCAGGGACUGUUUGGCAGACGUUCUGGGGUGGGGAACAAACAUCUGUGUGUGGUUCACCAACGGUCCCUGGUGACUAUGGUUUUAUGGCUGGUCCUGUAGCCAUUUGAGAACCGUUGCCUUCAGAGGUGCACGUAGUCCCAUAACUGAAGAUGUGGCUCCCUGAGGCUCCUGGGAAGCCAACCGCCUCCCCAGACCUACAGAAUGGGAAUGGAAAUCUCCGGGUGUGGGGGUGGGGGCUGGAGGGGGUGGGCCUGGGAAUCUCUAGCUAAGAGCCUCAGGGGUUUUUUAUCAUCUGGCAAGUUUGGGAAAGCUGACUGAGAGUCAGGCCCAUCCAAUUAGCACUUAAUUGUAUCCUGCUUUAUCUUCUUCCCCAAUUAGUUCUUCUGCAUCAGUUAAGCUCCUUGGAGGCCCAGACAACAGCACUUAAUUCAGCAUUGCCCUGAGAGCUGGCAUGGUGCUGGCUAGGUGACUGGCAUUAUGGAAAACUGACUGCAUCUGCUUUAGGAAGAGAGGCAUGUCCAGAGUGGAAAUUCUGGAAGCUCCUUGCAAAACUAAUACCUGGGCUUCUGCACCUCCCCAGCUUGAUGUCUGCUCUUAUCCCUCAUCUCUGCAAAGCCAGGUGCUUCCUCUUGCUUAAAGACCAGCUCAAGGCUCUCUUAUUCCAAGAACUGACUCCAUUACCUCCAGCUAGAUAUAAGCCCAUGGGUCUGUGGAUCCUUCUGAUGUGAAUUUACCUGGAUUUCUGUUUUUCACGGACAGAGGGCUUCAGGAAAGCUCCUGGCCUGACAUGAUGCUAGGCACAUAGUAUUGCUCUUUCCUUCCUACAUCCUCUUCUAGGGAGGGCAUCUUAUCCACCUUGAACAUUCCUACCAUGGAAAACAGUGGCUUGCACAUAGCACAAGGUCAGUUAAUAUUUUGGAUUCCUACAUAAGUCUCAGAGAUGUUAAUAGGAAUUACCAUCUUGUUGCAAUGAAUGUGAGCAAGUAUGUGUUGUGCACAUAAAUUAUCCCACUCCCGCCAAAGGACUAUGUUACUCUUUUUCAAUUACCCAAGCAACUACUCCAGUGCCUUAUGCAUGAUUACCUUCUCUAAGUAUUUUCUUUCUAAAUUAAUACAAUUAUUAACUUCUCAGGGUGUGAACUGUAAAGGGGAAAAUGUGUGCUUCUCUGUUUAAAACAUUAGUAUCUUUAUUUUAAAUCUACUCCAGACUUGCCCAGACUCCUUCACUACUCAGAGUCUCUGAGCAUCGGCUUCCUUAACAUUCAAAAUGGAAAUGAUAAUAAAAACUUUGCACAUCUCUAAAAAUCUCUGAAAAAAAAAAUUUGUCACAUUGAACACAUAAAGCAAGCACUGGAUAAAUUGUAGCUGCAUGGUAUAGUACAGACAACUUGAGACAUAGAUGGAAGGCAGAGCCUAUAUUUUAUUCCUGCCAAACAAAAAUUAAAACAAAGGCAUUAUAAGAACCCAGUGUUGGUGACAUUUGUGAUGGAACAGGCACACUUAUUUUGGAGGCCUGUUUAGCAAUGCUUACCAGGAGUCAUAAAUAUUUUCAUAUACUUUUACCACCGCACAGCAGUUCUAAGAAUUACUACAGGAGAAUGAUUUUUAGAGAGGAACAAGUUAAAUAUAGGCAUCAGUGUAAUUUACAAAGGUGAAAACAAAAAGUAACCUAAAUGCACAUGAAUGGGAGCAAGGUUACAUAAAUUACAGUGCAACAAUGUAAUGGAAUAUCUCACAGCAAUUAAGAAGGCUAAAGACAAAUCCCAGGUAGAAACAUUUAGUGAUUGAAAAUAAUAAGUGUAAUGGUAAAACACAAUUUUAUGUAUACUUUGAUUAAAAUGAUUCAAAAUGAUAUAUUUACUUACAGCCGUGAAGAAAAGAAUAAAGACAUGAACAUGUUUGCUGUGUUAUAUUAGUGAAAUUAAAUUUAUUUUAUACAUGCUAUAUAUGUAUGUAUACAUGCAUGUGCGUAUGUAUGUAUACAUUUAUGUAAAUAUAUAGAUGCAUGAAUACACAUAUGUAUAUGUAAAUAUGUAUAUGUACAUAAAUGUGUAUGUACACUUAUAUAGGUGUAUAUGCAUGUACAUAUGUAUGUGUAUAUGUAUAUGUGUAUAUCUACAUAUGUAUAUGUGUAUAUAUACCUUUAUGUACAUAUAUAAAAAUAUUUUAAUUUUUAUUUUAAAUACUUUAUAUAAAAUUUACACACACAUCUAUAUCUAUAAAAGUAGAUAUAUGUAUAUAUCUGUAUACAGAUAUAUAUGUAUACAUAUAUACAUAUAUACACAUAUAUACAUAUAUACAUAUCUGUAUACAGAUAUAUAUACAUAUAUAUCUGUAUAUAUGUACAUAUAUACAUAUAUACAUAUAUAUGCAUACAUAUAUACAUAUAUGCACAUAUACACAUAUAUGUACAUAUAUGCAUAUAUAUACAUAUAUACAUAUAUACACACACAUAUAUAUAUACAUGUCUACUUUUGAAAAUCUUCCUAAUAGUUCUGCAAGGCAGGUUUUAGUACCUUGAGGAAACAGGUGACAAUAUUUUACUAAAUCACAUAUCUAACAAAAGUUAUCAUAAGCCUUCAAAUGAACCUUGGCCCACCGGCCCCCAAAUCUUUGCUUUUUAAAAUUAUUCACAAAUUGUUUUCCAAUGUGUGUACAUUUGAUGUUGGUUUCUUUUGAUAACUCAUUUCCAAUAAGACCUUAUUUUAUAUUACAACAAUGAAGAUAGAUAAAUAAAUACAUCAAAAUAUUUAUUAUGUGUACUACAUACAUUUUAUAAUUAAAAUGUGCUAGAUUGUUACCUUGUUAGCUCCAAUCAACCACCUCCCAGUAUUCACAGUUUUGUGUAGUCCCAUUUCACAUAGGCACUAGACUUGGCUAUGUGAUGUGAUGUGUUUUGGCCAAUGGGUCAUUGGCAAGCUUGAAAUAAGAACUUCAUAAGUACUUGUGAGUUAAGGUUUGUCCUGUUAGAAGCUAGUCACCAUGCUAUCAAGACACCCAAGCUAGCUGCAUGGAGAUGAUGCAGGAUUUUUCUUGAUCCCUUUGCCAGCUGGGGACCUCCAGCCAGCAAUGACCCUGCCCAGGCCUCACUUGAGCAUGCUACCUGUUGCAGGAGGUGGCCUGCCCACCCAGCCCACCUGGGCUGCACCUGAAUUGUGAACUGGCUUAGCCCGAAGCUGGGCUGGGCAUGCUCUAGCUCACCUGUGUUAUAGCUCAUACCUGUGUUCAGUGGUUCCUGAGUUCUUGUCCCGCGUCCAAGAAGAAUGAGGAUAUGCUGACAAUUGAAGGGUGAGGAGAGCAGAGAAGAAUUUUAUUGAGUGAUGGAACAGCUCUCAGCAGAGAGGGGAUGUGGGGGUAGUCCCCCACCUGAAGUUGGGUGGUUUCUCUUCCAGUGUAGCUGAAUCUGAGGCUUUUAUGGACUCAGAAUAGGGGAGUGCAUGCUGAUUGGUUUGUGAAUAUGCAAAAAUGGUUAAAACAAAGGCACCACUCAAAUGUGGGCAUGACAGUGUAAAUAAACCAAUUAGGGAAGGGUAGGUAUAUGUAAAAUAGGUGAAGGGUGAGGAUCAAUCAGAGGAAAGCAUGCCCAACAGGAAGAUAGAUUCUCAGUCUGGUCUGUGGAUUUGACUUGUAGUUAGGCUUAAACUGUCUUUGGCUUGGAGAUGGGGUUUCACCAGGGACACGCCCCUAUCUGCCUAUGCAUUUGUCUGCCUCCUGCCACUAUCAGAGAGGCCACAGAGAAGAGAAUUGAGGCUUCCCAGAAAAGAGCCCUGAUGAGGUCCCCGCUCACAAUAUGGAGAGAUCGUUUAGGAUUACCAGCCCCUUUGAAGCCUCCAGAAAAUCACAGCUCUGUUAGUAAUUUUUGUGGACUCCAUGCAAAGAAAAGAAUCAUUUAAUGAGCCCAGUCAACCCAUAGAAUCAUGAGAAAUAAUAAAUCUUUGUAGUUUCAAAGCGCUAAGUUUUGGGAUGGUUUGUUAAACAGCAAGAGAUGACCAAUAUAUCAGACCUGAAAAAUUUAAAGCACCAGGAAAAUUUUAAAGUACCAGGAAAAUUUUAAAGUACCAUCCUAGCACAUAGUAGAUGCUUAAUUAAAAUGUCUAUGAAGAAGAAGGGGUCAAUUCUGUCACUUGGCAUUCAGAUUCCCUUUUUGCUCACUAUAGCCUUCCACUUUAAGAAGAGAACCAACAUCCCUGUUGAACUGGAUUCAUCUGCAAACCAGGCCAGCAAUCCUGGCUCAGGCAGGCCUUCCAGGAGGGCAAACUGUAUAGUUCUAUAGCAAAGGGGGCAUUGUCCUUUCUGAAAUGCCAGAUCCUUUAUAAGCUGGAGAGUUACAGUCACUGUUUGGUAAUUGCCCUGCCCCCUGCUAGUGCUUCCAUUCUUGGCUCUUAUAAUAAAGUUCAGUCUCAUGCUCAUUUUUUAUCUUCCUAAAUGGGGCCUGCCAUGGAGCAGCCAUUUGUAUUACGAUCUUAGGCAACCAUGACUGUUCCCAGCCACAGCAUCCCUAAUGCCACUGCCUUAGUUCAGACCCGUAUCAUUUCUCCCCUGGAUAAUUACAACAGCCCCUAACAAGUCUCCUAGCAUUUUGGCAUACACUCCUCUAUUCCAUUCUCUGUAGCAGGCAGUAGGCCAUUUCUAAAGUACAAACUAAAUCAUUUCACCAUGCUUUUUAAAACCUUCCAAUAGGCUCCCCAUUGCCUCAAAGCAAAAUUUCUCAGACUGGAUUAAUGAGUGAGUGUUCCACAGGGUGUGGGCUAGGAAUGAGAAUAUAGUUUAACACAUUUGGGAAACCCUGGGUUAAACAUGGUUAACCAGGUAUUUUUGUGUGUUUGUUACAGGAUUUCUCAGAGCCUUUAAUAUGCUGAUGCAAAUUGUGAAUCUUAUCACAAGAGUGAUAUAAAAUCAACAUUUACCAAACUUGCUUUCUUGGCAGACUAUCUUUGGUUCCACUGAGUUGCAGUUUAGAAUUUUUCAAGUAUUUCCAAGUCCCUUAGUCUGGUAGACAAGUUUCUUCAUAAUCUGACCCCUGCUUAUUUCUUCAGCACAAGUCUCUACAUUUCUCCCAGGUCCUUGCUUCUUGACAAUUUGGUUCCUAUGUACCUGCUUUCCUUUAUCUAAAGUCAACCAUCCUGUUCUUUCAUAGCCCUGGUUAAUUCUUAUUCAUCCUUUGAAUCUCAGGUCAGUCUUCUCUCCUCUGGGAAAUCUUAUCCUAUCCCCACCAUACCUCAUCCCACCCCACCCUCCCUUGGGCUGAGUUAUACAUUCACCCUAUGACAUCCCAUGCUUUUUCCUAUUAUAUUAACUUUCACACAACCUUAGAGUUUCCUGCUUGUCUCUCCUUGUAGAUUGCAUGUUCCUUUGGGCAGGGCUGUCAGCAGGGCACUUAGUGUGCAUUCAGUAAGUGUUUCUUGAGUAAAUGAGUACUGAGAAAUAGAAUGCAUUUUGUGAAAACAGUUGUUGACUAAGAAUUUUCUGAAUGCAGUCACACUGAUAGUAGAUACCUUUUCAGGUGCCAAUCCAUCUAUGGUGUAAACAUGUCUCUUAUACUGACCAUACUCUACAGGUGUUCUCUGUGAUACUAUCUCCUGGGACCAUUUAAAUUCACAUGAAGAAAACUGAGCCGACCUGACUCAUUCUCUGAGGAUUCGAACUUAGGAAUUGUUAGAAGUUUAUUCAAACUGCAGAAUCAUAAACUGCAGAGCUCUGGUGGCCGUUUUGUGUAUGAGUAAAUGGGAGCGAUGGAAGCAGUUCUGUAGAAAGAGAGGGAGAGAAGUGAAGGGCAUUGGGCUACAGAUGUUCCUCGAUGUCCCAAUAAACCCAUCAUAGAGUUGCAUGAUGUUGAAAAUAUUCUAAGUCACAAAUACAUUUAAUACACCUAACCUACUGAACAUCAUAACUUAGCGUGCCUUCAGUGUGCUCAGAACACUUAGAUUAGCUUACAUUUGGGCAAAAUCAUCUAUUUAACACAAAGCCUAUUUUAUAAUAAAAUAUUGAAUAGCUCAUGUAAUUUAUUGAAAACUAUACUAAAAGUGAAAAACAGAAUGGUUGCAUGGGUACCUGAAAUAUGGUUUCUACCAAAUGUGUAUUGCCUUUGCAACCAUCUUAAGUCAAACCAUCAUAAGCUGGGAACUGUCUGUAUUUAGAAAAAAGCAAAGAUGGAGAGGUAUUCCUAACCCCCUGGGUUCCUAAUUUCUCACAGAUUUCUCAUUUCAGCACUAGCUGAGGUCUGGCUAUCAGCCUGUCACAGAGUUAGGAGUAUGUCAUCACAGUGAUUUUUCUUUCCCCUCCUCCAGCCUAUUUGAAGGAGGCCCUGUUAUGUGUUACCAAUAGGGUCUUUACUAAGCAAUGUCUAGUUUUUUUCCUUGAAAAACUUGAAAUGUGAAUGGCUCUCUCAACAUGCUUCUCUUUGUAACAGCCACAUUGUGAAUAUUAAUGGCAGUACUUAAGCAGGUCGAUUGUGCACUGAGAAUAUGAAAUAUGCAUGUCACUUAAAAACAAAUGAUUGUCCAUACAGUGCUUGGGCUGAAUUAUUCUCCCUCAGGUUGUCACACCUGAUGCAGAGGGAAGCUAAGGCAAUGCAUCUGUGCCAGACUUUAUAGAUCCCAAGGUCAGGAUCAAAAUGUGCAGAUUCAGGAAGAUGCUUUUUCACUAAUGAUUUGUUACCGUUAACUUGACGCACUGGGUGGAUUUAUAUAGAGAAAAAUGUUAAUAAAAUGUUCUUCGAGCUACAUUUCUGCUUUGCUGAGUUGUCAUUCCAUUAAGCAAAUUUGAGGCAAUGUAAUUGCUAUAAGAUUCUACAUAUUUGCAAAUGAAUUUGUGAGUUUAUUUGGGAAAUGAAUGGGUUUUAACUUGGCUUGUUGGACUAAUUUUAUUUUGCUGUUUCCAGGAGAUGUCCUAGCGAG
rnacentral:lncRNA from 10 species